CCUCCUCUUCUGUGGCAGCAAGUGAAUUGGGGUUUUUAAAGGCAAAGACACACACAGUGGUUUAAGAUUGAUGAUGUUGGCAUGGAUACAGUGAUGUUUUUGGGACAGAUUGAUGAUGUUUGUACGGGCGUAAUUUACAUUAUAUUUUUGUUUAUGGAAAACAUGUACACCUGAUAUGUUUUAUUAGUAAGAUUUUGUUUAAUUUGGAUUUUAAUUGUUGGUUUAGAUAGUAUACGUAUUUGUUGGAUUAUACUAUGUUUAUGGAUUCUUAUUUUCUUUGAUAUGUACAGUUAAUAGUUAAGUUUUGUAUAUGGUUGGAAAUUGAA